AGUGAACUAGCUGGGUCAUAUGGUGGUUCCAUUUCCAGCUUUUUGAGGAAUCUCCACACUGCUUUCCAGAAUAGCUAUAUUAAUUUGUAGUCCCAUCAGCAAU
rnacentral:pre_miRNA from 1 species